UACCAGCUCCCCGAGUGGUCGGGGCGAUUAUUGGGCCUAAAGCGUCCGUAGCCGGCCUAGUAAGUCUCCUGUUAAAUCCAGCGAUCCAAUCGCUGGACUGCAGGAGAUACUGCUAGGCUAGGGGGCGGGAGAGGCUGGCGGUAUUCCCGAGGGAGGGGCGAAAUCCUGAGAUCUCGGGAGGACCACCAGUGGCGAAGGCGGCCAGCUGGAACGCGCCCGACGGUGAGGGACGAAAGCCGGGGGAGCGAACCGG
rnacentral:rRNA from 1 species